rnacentral:rRNA from 1 species
ACUCAAAUGAAUAGACGGGGGCCCGCACAAGCGGUGGAACAUGUGGUUUAAUUCGAAGCUACGCGAAAAACCUCACCAGGGCUUGACAUACAGGAAGUAGCGAAAUGAAAGUGGAGCGACCCGUUAAGUCGGGAGCCUGAACAGGUGCUGCAUGGCUGUCGUCAGCUCGUGUCGUGAGAUGUUGGGUUAAGUCCCGCAACGAGCGCAACCAUUAUCCUUUGUUGCCACUUAUAUCGAGCUUGCUCGGUAUGAAGCACUCUAAGGAGACUGCCUGGGAUAACCAGGAGGAAGGUGGAGAUGACGUCAAGUCAGUACGGCCUUUAUGCCCUGGGCUACACACGUGUUACAAUGGACGGUACAAAGGGUUGCCAACCCGCGAGGGGGAGCUAAUCUCAAAAAACCGUCCCCAGUUCAGAUCGGAGUCUGCAAAUCGACUCCGUGAAGCCGGAAUCGCUAGUAAUGGUAGAUCAGCACGCUACCGUGAAUACGUUCCCGGGCCUUGUACACACCGCCCGU